rnacentral:rRNA from 1 species
GACGAACGCUGGCGGCGUGCUUAACACAUGCAAGUCGAACGAAGUGGCGAACGGGUGAGUAACGCGUAAUCAACCUGCCCUUCAGAGGGGAACAACAGUUGGAAAAGACUGCUGAUACCGCAUACUGAAGGAGGGGAUUGCGUCGGAUUAGAUAGUUGGGUUGGAAACGGCCCACCAAGGCGAUGAACAGUAGCCGGUGUGAGAGGAUGAACGUCCACAUUGGGACUGAGACACGGCCCAGACUCCUACGGGAGGCAGCAGUGGGGAAGCUUCCGCAAUGGACGAAAGUCUGACGGAGCAACGCCGCGUGAGUGAUGACGGCCUUCGGGUUGUAAAGCUCUGUUAAUCGGGACGCGGUACCGGAAUAGAAAGCCACGGCUAACUACGUGCCAGCAGCCGCGGUAAUAC